GUUGGAGGGGCCGGCGAGGGCGGGGCAGGGAAAGGGGAUAACCUGGCCCCAAAGUGAGCUGCUAUCAUCAUCAAAUAUUUCCCUAAUUGCGAAAAAAUGAAGGGACUGAGGGAUGCCAGGAAAAUAAAGUCCAAGUGUACUAGGCGUUGGCUUUUUUGGCAAAGCAAAUUUCUCUGUAACAAUUUUUAAGAAGAUAUAAAAGGCAUUGCCUCACACAAUGAUCUCUGAAGCCUGGCUUUCAUCUGCCUCUUUAGAAACAUUGCAUUUCGAAGGGAGCCGUUAGCUGAGGUGGUGAAUGUGUCUGCUAAUUGCUUUCUGUUAUAAAUCUAAGCAACACUGAACUCCACGAGGGAAUGCAAACUUAUCAGGGAAGCUAAAAGCAGAAAUCGCCUUUGGCUGAGUUACAAGUGCUGUUUUCCUCAUCGAGCCUGAAUGUCUUCACGUGUUUCUAGAACAUUCUUAUGUAUCACUUGGGAAGAUCACAGCGGGGUUGGGGAGUGGGCAAGGGACCCUGUGCAGGUUCAUGCACCGUGUAAGAAACGCUGGAACAGAUCGGCUGACCGACUCAGCAAGGUGAUGCCCGGGGAGACUCAGGUCUGUGGACAAGUGUUUAAUCCCGAGUGGGGAAGGGACAGAGGACGGGGCGAUGGGGCCACGCGGCUCGCUGCCUUAGGCGUUUAAACACCCGCGAGGAUCCCUGACCCAGUGGUUUUAUGUCCUUGUCAAACGCCGUUGGCAAAUCGGUCGACACCACUCUGCACGGAGACUCCUGGCACCACUCGUCUUCUAGAAGAACCCAAAGUAGUUGGCAGUGUUGAAGCACACACAGGCUUUACCAAAAAUUUGAAAUUCCCAGCUUCUCCAAAAAACCCCACAAAACUCGGAAGGUCUCGCGAAAUGGAGCCCUCGCUUCUGCCUCGUGUGAAGGACCGUCCUCCCAAGAUAGGCGUGUGGCUUCCGGGGGCCCGGCGCCUUCCUCCUUCGCUGCGGCGGACCCGGCCGGUCUCACCUUCCCGGCAGCAUGUGUGAGCCCAGACCCUUCCCUGUCCUUGCCAACAUUCGGGCUAGUCCGCCUUUGUGGUUUUAGCCCUUCUGGGGUGUGCGUAGUGGGAAGUCGCUGUGGUUUUAAUUUGUGUUUCCUAAUGACUAAUGUGUUGCUCAAUUGUUCGUGUGAUCAGUGGCCCUUUGUACCUCCCCUGUUGGGAAGCGUCAUUGUCCCAGACGUGGCUCUCUCCCCCGAGUUUUCGAGCUUCUUCCCGCCCGCCCAGAAUCAGCUCCUCACGCCCCUGCCCGGACACCAGCCCUAGCUGGGCAGCCCCUGAGGCGCAGAGGGCUGACUCCCCGCUCCUUGGGGACCCCACUGACGCCAGAGGACAAGAGAUCCCUUGCUGACACGGUCUCAGCAGUUCGGCCUCCUUGGACACAGAGUGCGAGGAAAACACAUCUGAGCCUUUUUUGGUUCCCUAUCGGGUGACUCAAGCCUUUGUUUCUGGCCCGGAGGCAGAGAGUUGGGGAUCUCCCGGCACAGGUGAACAGGUGCACGGGGGAACGAUGGGGGGACAGCCGGAACAAGACACAUAAAUACUGAAAACGCUAUCCUUCCCGGUGUGGGGCUCAUCUCCCAGAGGAAAUCCUCUGCAGAAGUCUAGUCCAUGCGGCGGAGAAGAACCCCCACAGCCCGGCCCCUCUGCCUCCGCGUCGUGUCCCCCCCCCCCCCAGGUAACCGAGAGCGGGGACAGACGCCCUUUGGCGAGUGCCGUCUGCCCACGGCGGCUCACCACGCGCUGCCUGUGUGGCGCUCGCGCGGUGGGCGGGCACAGCCGUCGCGUGGCGAGGUGGCGGGUCCUGGGGCCGCGCGUCCUGCCUCGCGCUCACCCGUGUUCCUCCCCGCUCUCCGCCAGGGGUGACGCGCCGCCCUUGAAGCUCGUGCCCCGCUGACGGCCGAUUCCCGCAAGGGCCACCCGGGCCGUACCCGGGAGGGGCUCGUGGUUUUCCAAACACGGACGCGUUUCUGACUAAAGAAGGCAGGCGCGGAACCGGGCGGCUGACGUCUCCGCAAACAAGCGGUUAUUCAUCUGAAGAGCCUCGUGCUAAAUAUAGACGCGAGGGGAGGUCAGGAGCUUCCCGAACAUACGCGUCCUUUCGUCUGCUGGUUUAAGGGCUCCGAGUUGGUAGAGAAUAGUCUUUGUUUCUGGCCGUAGGCAGAAGCAAGGGGCCUGGGGGGCGAGACCGCUUCUCUGCCUUUCAUCUCACAUUCGGCAGCGGCAGGCAGACGGGUAGAUUACGUGCGUUUGGAAAAAGUGCAUUUGGAAAAACACGAGGGAAGAACUCAGCAUACGAGGAGGAAGGGCGAAGAGGCCGGUUUCUUGAAAUGCCGUGUCCCUGUCGCCGCCGUGCUUCUUGGAAGGAGGUGAAACGUCACCUACCAGGGCCUCCGACUUUCUGCCCUUCCUCCGUUUCCAGAGGCGUGUUCUCUCCUCUACCUCUCCUUCCAGAACAUUCCUGUGACUCUACAUACGCUUAUGUAGAGACAGAGCACGCGUCUGUCUGCGUGUUUUACACCGCUGUACCGAUGGCCCCGUAACUUGUGUUUUGUUUCUUCGCGCAGCUUUUCUUGGAGCCUCUCCUCGUCGGUACCUGUGGACGCCACCCCUUCUCUUGGCUGCUACACUGUCUUGCAGAAUAUGAAUGCUUAUCCAGCCAGUUCUGAAGCAUUUGGGGGAAUUCUGAAGCCUCUAUAAUUUACGCAAUUUGACAACUGGCUUUCGUUACCAGGGGAUCAAUAAUCUUGGAUUUCCGUGUGUUUCCUAAAAUCCCUGUCAUUGUGAGGAUGUCCCCCCCCCCCCCCCCCCACCAAAUAUCUGCAGCAAGUCAGGGCUCCUUUCUGGCAGCAUUCUCCCCUGCGAGGUGCCCUCUCUCUCCUGUAUGUUCAUUCGCCUCAAUUAGGCACUUUCUCCCGUUCCUUGAUGACUGAGAUUUAAGUACUCAUGAUUUCUCUAUGAUGUUUAUCAGCAACUAGUCUGGAGACAUGAUCACGAUGAGUCAGAGAGGGAGCCCACACCUGGAGCUGCUAAGGACUUCCCAUAUCUCUCCAGCACGAGGAGAGGGGCCGAGGGUAAGGCUGACGUAGGGAGGGCAAAGUUGCGGGACAGGACCUCACGCCAGUGCGCCUGAGCUCCUGGAUGCAGCUGUGCCUGCAACCAGAGGCGCCACCGGCCUUCACCCCCACUGGACCAGUAAUACAUUUCCCUUUUGCCUCCAUCAGAUGGGUUGGUAACGGAUCCGGCCCUCCCCCAGACAGAGCUCCGAUGUCCGAUUCCGUCACUAUCUUGAAGACCAAAGUGCCAGCUGCGUAUACAGCUCGAGUGUAAUGGUUACUGUGUGUCCUCGUGUAUUAUUUCAUGUUUGGCCUCGG